rnacentral:rRNA from 1 species
UACGAAGGGGGCUAGCGUUGCUCGGAAUUACUGGGCGUAAAGCGUACGUAGGCGGAUUGUUAAGUCGGGGGUGAAAUCCUGGAGCUCAACUCCAGAACUGCCUUCGAUACUGGCGAUCUCGAGUUCGGGAGAGGUGAGUGGAACUGCGAGUGUAGAGGUGAAAUUCGUAGAUAUUCGCAAGAACACCAGUGGCGAAGGCGGCUCACUGGCCCGAUACUGACGCUGAGGUGCGAAAGCGUGGGGAGCAAACAGG